rnacentral:rRNA from 1 species
CUACGGGCCGCUGCAGUGGGGAAUAUUGCACAAUGGGGGAAACCCUGAUGCAGCAACGCCGCGUGGAGGAUGACGCAUUUCGGUGUGUAAACUCCUUUUAUAUAGGAAGAUAAUGACGGUACUAUAUGAAUAAGCACCGGCUAACUCCGUGCCAGCAGCCGCGGUAAUACGGAGGGUGCAAGCGUUACUCGGAAUCACUGGGCGUAAAGCGCGCGCAGGCGGUUUGAUAAGUUGGAUGUGAAAGCCUACGGCUCAACCGUAGAACUGCAUCCAAAACUGUCAAACUAGAGUCUGGGAGGGGAAGAUGGAAUUAGUUGUGUAGGGGUAAAAUCCGUAGAGAUAACUAGGAAUACCAAAAGCGAAGGCGAUCUUCUGGAACAGUACUGACGCUGAGGCGCGAAAGCGUGGGGAGCAAACAGGAUUAGAUACCCGAGUAGUC